AUUGAACGCUGGCGGCAUGCUUUACACAUGCAAGUCGAACGGCAGCACGGACUUCGGUCUGGUGGCGAGUGGCGAACGGGUGAGUAAUACAUCGGAACGUACCCAGUAAUGGGGGAUAACUAGUCGAAAGAUUAGCUAAUACCGCAUACGCCCUACGGGGGAAAGAGGGGGAUCGCAAGACCUCUUGUUAUUGGAGCGGCCGAUGGCUGAUUAGCUAGUUGGUGGGGUAAAGGCCUACCAAGGCGACGAUCAGUAGCGGGUCUUAGAGGACGAUCCGCCACACUGGAACUGAGACACGGUCCAGACUCCUACGGGAGGCAGCAGUGGGGAAUCUUGGGCAAUGGGCGAAAGCCUGAUCCAGCAAUGCCGCGUGCGUGAAGAAGGCCUUCGGGUUGUAAAGCGCUUUUGUCUGGGAGCAAAUCCUUGUGGCUAAUACCCACCGGGGAUGAGAGUACCAGAAGAAUAAGGACCGGCUAACUUCGUGCCAGCCGCCGCAGUAA
rnacentral:rRNA from 1 species